rnacentral:rRNA from 1 species
GACGUAGGAGGCGAGCGUUGUCCGGAUUCAUUGGGCGUAAAGAGCACGCAGGCGGUUUGGCAAGUCGGAUGUGAAAACCCGAAGCUCAACCUCGGGCGUGCAUCCGAAACUGCCCGACUAGAGGUAGGUAGGGGAGAUCGGAAUUCCUGGUGUAGCGGUGAAAUGCGCAGAUAUCAGGAGGAACACCGGUGGCGAAGGCGGAUCUCUGGGCCUUACCUGACGCUCAGGUGCGAAAGCUAGGGGAGCGAACAGG